UAAGACAUUUUCAUGAGGUGAUUGCUUAGUUUUAGAAAGACAUAGUAGGAUAAGUGUGAGAGGCCAGAUCUGUCCAGUUUUAACAUAAAACUGAUAAAAAAUUUGGAUUUGGUA